rnacentral:rRNA from 1 species
UGGGGAAUAUUGGACAAUGGGCGGAAGCCUGAUCCAGCAACGCCGCGUGAGGGAUGACGGCCUUCGGUUGUAAACCUCUUUCUAGCACAGACGAAGCGCAAGUGACGGUAUGUGCAGAAGAAGGACCGGCCAACUACGUGCC